GUAGAGUCCUCAGUUGGAUCGCCAUUGAUCAAAGGACCCAGGUUGAUAUUAUUCUCAGUGACUUACACCUCUAAAACUCUACAUACUUCGGAAAAGUAUUCUAAAAAGGCGUUUGAGUAACAAGUCAAAAUGAUCAGUUUUCUUUUUUUCUGUUGCCUAGCAGGUGUCUGUCUGGGACUUGAUGUCCGUCAGUCUUCCUCUGAUCUCAUCAUGAAACCUGGAGACCAAGUCCAGAUAUUCUGCAGCCAUGAGAAAACGGACUACAGGUUAAUAUAUUGGUACCAGCGCUCACCUGGAGACACAGCUAUGAAACUCAUUGGAUAUUUGUACUUUAAAGAUGACACAAUGGAAGAGUCAUAUAAAGAACAUUUUAGUAUCUCUGGAGAUUUGGGUGGAGAUGCAGCAAAGAACGCCACGCUGAUGUUCAGAUCUGGAUUUCAGCACACUGCGGUGUAUUACUGUGCAGCCAGCUUAGCACAGUGUCUGUCUGGGUCUUGAUGUCCGUCAGUCUCCCUCUGACCUCAUCACCAAAUCUGGAGACAAAGUGGAGAUUUUCUGCAGCCAUGAUAAAACUGACUACAGGGUGAUGCUCUGGUACCAGCGCUCACCUGGAGACACGGCCAUGAAACUCAUUGGAUAUUUGAACUUUAAAGAUGUCAAAAUGGAAGAGCCAUAUAAAAAACAUUUUAAUAUCUCUGGAGAUUUGGGGGGAAAUACAGCAAAGAA